CAUUGAGCCAUAAUACUAAAGGUUUAGUGGAAGAGUUAUAUGGAGACUCCACAAAAUAAUAGAAAAGUUCUCUACCAGCCUCAGGAUCAACUGUGACAUAGCCUGAAUAUUGGUCAAAAUUUACCCCAUAGGGUUGACCAGGCAAUGUGUCAAUCUUGUCAGCUUGCAUUAGCCCCUCUUGAGGUGCAACAUCAGCAGUAGAAAACGAAGAAUGUGUUUUCAAUGCAUCUUCCUCUUCCCAUGAAAGAGUCUUAGGAGGAUUCUGUGAGGUUCUAGACAGAAUAAACUCAACAAGUUUAUCAGCUUGACUAGCUUUGCAAUAUGGAAAAAUAACCAAUAGACUCAAGUUGAGUAGUAAACAAGCAUAAAGAGAAACCUUCUUCAUCUUGUUCUCAACUUGGCUUCAAUAUAUCAUAAGUUUCUAACUAUUUAUAGAUGAAAAACAGUGGCAAUUUUGCAGGGACUUAUUUGGUUGUGCUUGUUUGAAUCAUGUGAAAGAAAUAAGAGAGUUAACAGUACUGUUGACCAAUGACCAUGCAUUGGUCAGCCGGCUGACCGACCAGGUAAUGGAUUGUUCUUGUUUCCGUUUUUCUAGAAUCAUGUAUCAAGUUAUUUAACAUUUUAGUACUAUGUGAUUAACUUUGAAAGUUAAUGGAUGUUUGUUCCUCUAACUUAUUGUUGUUUAUAUGCAUUUGUACACUGUCUCAGAGUAUUUGUAAUUUGGUUGCUUAGGGGUGGGAAUAUGCUUGCUCGUGCUAGGCUCUGCAUAAGUAAAAUAUGUGUUCAAAAAAUUGAACUACUUAGUCUUACAUGGUAUAUUUCAUAUUUAAAUAAGUAAUUUUUCCUAUAUAACAAGCUAAUUUGUUCCCUAAAAAAAAAACAAGCUAAUUUGUCAAUGAGAUUAAGUUUUAUUUUGAGAUUUAACAUGACCUUUUAGAGAAUUCAAUUUUAAUCGACAUUUGCUCCUAUUUAAAUUCUAUUUUACAGUAAUACAUUUAUUUGUAUUAAGAAUUGAUCAGUAGGGUAAUACACUUAAAUUAUUGUUUUGGUUGAUGAAUUUUUUUAUCCAAUGUAAAGUCAUAUCUGGAGAGAACUUGAGUACGAUAUUUUAAUUUCUAUCCCUAACAUAUUACUAACUAUACUAUUUUUUUUCUUCAAAAGCAUACUAAUAUUUUUCAUUAAAAAAAAUUUAACGCUACCUUGUAAAUAAACGAUAUACGACAAGUACGCAACUUCUAAAUUUUACAAUACCGGAUUUGUGUGUAUUGAAUAAAUAUAUUUUUUGUUAAGAUCCACCAAAUGAAAAAUAGUUGUAAAAUUAUUGGUAAUAUAACAUGUCUUUAUGAAUAGUGCAGUAUGUGUAUGUUAUUUUAAGUCCAAUUAUCCUACCAAAAAUGGUAUCGGGGAUAAUCGAAUCCAAGACCUUGAAUAGUGCAAUUGUGAAGAAACAAUGUAAGUUUGGAGAGAAUGAUUGCUAUCGAACAACUCUAUUUUGAUUACACAAACUUAUACGUUAUAAGUUAGGGGUUUGACCUUGCCAAAUAGAACCACAAUGAAGUGGAAAACUUGAAGGUUUUUUACUGAUUUUUCUAGAGAAAAUAAUAAAGAUGCGAGUAAUGGUGGGAGUAGCUUAUGAAGUUGCAUUAUUAAAAGGGUAUUUGUAUUUCAAAUUUCUUACCAUAUCAAAAGAUUGAGAUCUCUUAUCAACUAAUUUGAUUCAUCACAAAUGUGACAUAAAAAACCUCUCACAACAAUGGACUAAGGGAGAACCUAUAAUAUGGCCACAUUAGAUUUAAAUCGGUUGACACUUGACAUGUAACAAAAUCUUUAAUUGAAAGUUCAAACUAAUUUUUUUUUUAUUACAAUCUAACUAGUAGAUUAUGCACAGAGUGCAUUUCAAGGAAGUAAAUUUGAAACAUUGAUCAUGCUCAGAACCCUUUAAUUUGAUGGUGAAGCAGGAGGCAGGAUUCCAUAUAGGAAUGAUGAGAUCAAAGUCAAAGCACGUUCAGGUUGCCAGCUUGGAACAAGAUGUCCUGCUCCUCUUACUGUAACAAAUGUCAAUCCUUUGUAUCCCACCACAUAUCCUCCAAUCUGUCAUUAUUAUUACAAUUUGGUCGCAUUGCAAAAAUGUUAUUACUUGGUCUAGAAGAAACGUCAAUAAGUCAGUCAUAUAUCGAGUAAAUUAGCAUUUUGACACUCAAAAUUGUAAGGGUUGAGCAAUUUAGUCUCUUAAUUUUUAAAAUAUAAUAAAUUACCCCCCUUAAAUUAUAGAAUGUCAGAUCAAUCUAAUCUCUCCUUUAAUUUGAAAUAUAAAUAGACUAAUUUCAGUACCUCUUUUCCAGAAUACCAUGGACGCCAAGCAGCGUUAAUAGGGAGCUUAAGGGUGUUGAUUGAGUAUCUUGAAGAUGUGACUGGAACAACUGAAUCUGUAUCACCACUGUAGGAGAAUACACCAUCAAGAUUUAGGAGUUUGGAAUUUUUACAAAACAAAAAUUGUAACCUCUCAUCAUUCAAAACAAGAGUCUAGAUGUUACGUAUAUUAUUGUUCUUGUGAAUUCAAAUGGUCAUAACAAUUUAUACUAUAAUGAAUGUGAACUUGCCUGUAUAUCCAUAGCUUAAUGCCACUGUCGAUGAGGUACUUGACGGUGGGUAGGAUUGUAAUUGGACUGUCUUUCCAGUCAGUAAGAAGAUGACUAUGAAUUGUCAUAAAAAAUAACACAUUCUAAAUUAGAUAAAAAAAAAUACAUUUAUAUAAGUGUUAAAAAAAAGUACUAUUUUGAAAUUUCUUAAAAGUGAUUAUAGAAUAUUACGUGCAAUGGGUCCAAUUUGUAGGUUUUGCAUGAAGAGCCUUUUGAACCUCUGGUGUAUUUAGAUAGGCAGCACCAUAGUAAUCAGAACAAGGGUCAAAGUCAUUAGUUACAUAACCAGUUGAGCCAUUUUUGAGAGAAGAGUCAUGACAUAGUGGAGCAUAGAUGUUAUAGGAGUCUAUCUUUCCUUGCUCAAGGAAGGCCUUAUGUGUUGCAUUGAUACAAAUUGAUGAAACGUUUUCAGAAGUGAAGUCACAAUACUUCUCAAUCAACUCAUGAGUUUGAUCCGAGUUCAACGCAUGAGUCCAAAGGUAAUCAAAUAACCCCCUUAAACCUGUGGCAUCAUCAAUCCAAGCAUUCCCUAUCUGAAAUUUUUUAUUGUAAAGAUAAUGAUAAAGUUAGAUUUAUGAGGUUGACAGUUAUAUUGCAUUAUUAGUCUUUCAAAGUUUGAACAACAUACAGAAAUGCCUUUGAGGUUAAUAGUGGUGUUGUUAUAGAGUUUAUUGUUGUGAAGAAUAGUCGAUGCAAGCUGCGGAACAUAGUGACCAGCAUAACUCUCUCCAGUUAUGUAAAAAGCUCUUGUUUUGUACUGUGGAAAUCUCUCCAGCCAGUUGAUGAGGAAAACAUAGGCAUCUUUAGCGGUGGACUUAUCUCCUGAAUUGUCAUAGUCAGAUGUUGUGUUUGAGUAGGAAAAUCCUACUCCUGCCGGAGAUUCCAAGAAGAGUACAUUUGCAACUGCAUAUUUCAUAAGGAUAUAAGUUGGUAAGAUAAUCAUGUCUCAGGCAUGCAUCAUAAAGAAAUAAAUUAGUUAUAUUGAUGAUUGUCUCACCUUCAUUCCAAGCAUAUGGGUUGCGGUAUAAUGUUUUUCCAUCAGAAUUGACUCUGAAGGGUCCGAGCUCUUGAAAGGCUCCAUAUCCCAGUGAGGAACAACCAGGUCCUGCGAGUUUCAAACAUUAUGUUGUCAAAAUCGAAGCUUUCAAACUCGAGAGGCGAAAUAAACUUGUUGAGCUUCUGUUGACUUGACUAGUAAAACUGAGAGUUUAUCGAUUUUAUUAGAGUUUACAUAAAACUCGUUAAAGUUUCCGAAAAAGAGAGUAUUCGUGCGGGUUAAUUUGUUUUUAAGACUCAUAAUUGUAAGACUGUAAGGGUUAGCCUGAGAGCUUAACAACCAUGGUCAGAAUCAUUUCAUCAAAAGUAAAGUUCAGAUGAUGAUGCUCAUAAUAACCAGAUGUUACCAUGUUCUUUUAUAUAUAUCAAAAGAAAAAUAAUAUUCAAAAUCAAGUGAUAUUUUUCUUUAGGUUAAACUAUAUUAUGUUUCACUACUAUGAAAAUGUAGUUAUGUCAUCAAUCAAAUAUAACUAAUAAUCUAUAUAUAAAUUCUUUUUAUCGUGUGUGGUGAUGCAAAUUUUCUUAUUUAGAAGUCUCUGCAAGGUAACUUUCACAAUUUCAAACAUCAUCAUAUAAAUAAAUAAUGAUACAAUAAAGAACAUAAAAAAAUAUAAAAUGCAUACAAAAGAACAAAAGUUAACCCUCUAAAAAAAAGUGAACUGUAAAAAAAGUUUCUAGUGCAAUUUUACCUCCAUUGAACCACAGUACUAAAGGUUUAGUGGAAGAGUUAUAUGGAGACUCCACAAAAUAAUAGAAAAGUUCUCUUCCAGCCUCAGGAUCAACUGUGACAUAGCCUGAAUAUUGGUCAAAAUUUACUCCAUAGGGUUGACCAGGCAAUGUGACGAUCUUGUCUGCUAGUCUUAGCUCCUCUUGAGGUGGUGCAACAUAAGCAGCAGAAAAAGAAUGUGUUUUCAAUGCAUCUCCCUCUUCCCAAGAAAGUGUCUUAGGAGGAUUCUGAGAUUUUCUAGACAGAAUAAACUCAUUGAGUUUAUCAGCUUGACUAGCUUUGCUAUAUGGAAAAAUAACCAAAAGACUGAUCAAAUUGAGUAAUAAACAAGCAUAAAGAGAAACCUUCUUCAUCUUGUUCUCAACUUGGUUUCAAUAUAUCAUAAGUUUCUAACUAUUUAUAGAUGAAAAACAUUGACAAUUUUGAAGGACUUAUUUGGUUGUUCUUGUUGGAGCCAUGUGAAAGAAACAAGAGAGAGAUAACAUCUACCAUUGAGGCAUUGACCAAUGUCCAUGCAUUGAUCAGCCGGCUAUGUUUAAUUUAGUUUCUUCUCCUUGAAUGUAAUGUAAGGGAUUGUCAUUGUUUCCCUUUUUCUAGAAUCAUAUCAAGUUAUUUAACGUUUUAGCACUUUGUGAUUAACUUUGAAAGUUAAUGGAUGUUUGUUUCCGUAAAUUAUUGUCCUGGUUUAUGUAGUACUAGUACUACAUUCUAGUUUAUGACAGCAUAUGUAAUUGGGUUACUUAGGGGUGGGCAUAUGCUUCUCUAGUUAGGCUUUUAGAUUAAGCUCUAUUUUGAAAUUUAACAUUACCUUUUGGAGAAUUCGAUUUUAUAUGACAUUUCGUCCUAUUUAAAUUUUAUUUUAUAAUAAUACACAGCUAUUUCAACAAUUAAUCCUUAAUUAUAUAAUCUGAUUGUUAGUAAGUUAUAUAAAAUCAAAGACUGACUUACUUUAUUUAGUAUUAACUUGUAUUGUUUAUGGUUUGUGAACUAUUGUUUCAAUUGUUUUGGUAUGUUGUCUGAGUACUAGGUCCAUUGUGGAUCUAGACUAUUGCAGGAAAGUCUGAUCACAGGGACAAAUAUCAUUAAUGAUCAUGGAAUGCUUAGAUUAUCUAAGAACAACAAUUAUGAGUAUCAGGCGAUUCACCAAGCGGGCAAAGAACGGGCAGGUAACAAGCCAAUUCAGAGAGUUGAGGAAAACAUGGUAAGUUGAUUCGCCAAGAGAGCCCAAAGCUAGGUCAAAUUGAGCCAAGUUAGAUUUGUCUUCGAUCAAUAUUUUUAAAACAUCAAAUUUUUAUUAAUGCAUAAUUAAAGAUAUUAAAGAUCGUGCAUAGACAUGUGUGCAACAAUAAACAAUGUCACUUAAUACACCCGUUAUUUCUCAGUUGCCAAAUGAACUGCAGCCCUCAUUCAAUCAAAACAUGCAUCCGUGAAAUUAAGUAGCGAAAAGGACCGAAGAUAGACCAACAGGGCAUCAGACGGUUACAAAACUUCUUAAUGUUUCUUUUCAAAUUACAAACAAAAGAGAAAAGAUAGAAAUAGAGGCAUAAGUUAAAAGGGAGAAAGAAGAAGGAACAACUUCGAGUGGUGUUUGUCCUUGAGGGCAACCAUAUUGCCAUUGGAGUGGACAUAGAGAUAGAUAUAGAAAACAAAAGGUAACAAAUGGGAAGUUGACAUAGUGAAAGCAAGAUGGUGCGACCAUGCCCAUGGUGGCGGUGGAAUCUAUGGGGGAAGAACCCAUGGUGACGGUAUAAUUAAAAUAUUGAAAGUAUAUAAUCGAUUUAGAGGAUACAUUAGAAAAUUAGCUAACGAAAUCUAAUCCCACCACAAAUUUUUAACAUGUUUAGUUUCAUCACUUCUAAUGCAUUCUUUUACAUUCUAACAACCUUUCUGUUGCGAAUUCGAUGAAAAAAUUACACCAAUAACAACUUGAUGUAUGGAACAAGGGAUAAUUAAUGAGUUGAUCCAGUUCGGUCUAAAUUGACCAGUCUGAGGGAGAGAGCAGCUCUCCGUUCCACUAUAUAAUGAGUAACGUUACAAAAGAGAAAUCAAUGGGUUACAAGAAUAAGUCUCCCUCCUAUUUCUACCCAAAUUCCCAGUCUCUUCUCGUAACCAAGAGACUCAAUUCUAAUAGUGUUUCGCAAGGUGAAUCAACCCUCAAACUCUAGUGUUUGUGUUUGUUCCAAAGAGACAAACUCUAUACAAACCCUAGUUUUGUUGUUGCCUUUCUAAACCCUUGUUUCAGCCCCCUCUAUCUCAAAAUUUGCUAUGAUACAAGGUCUAUAUUUAUAGUGAAAGUAAUCCCUUUAAAAACUAAAACAAAUCUUCAAUAAAAAUACGUUUUAUUUUUAUCUUCAAUCGCACCAUCGUGGCACUAUUCGAUCCAAUCGUGCUACGAUUUUUCCAGUGAUUACUCCAGAAUUUUGCUUCAACAAUCGUGGCACGAAGCUUCUCCAUCGUGGCACGAUUCUCCAUAAUUCUGAUUUUAAGUUAACUCUCACAAUUCUCCACCUUGACUUCAAAUCAGUGAUGAUGCCAAUCAUCAACCUUCUUGCUGCUCUUUCCCUUGCUUCCCACUACUCCAAGUAGCUCCACAAGUUUACACCUCUUAACCCAUUCAGCCCUCGGAAUGUCUUCCGCCUUCUCGAAAGUCCUUGCAGUCCAACUACACUAGGAGUUUUAGGUAGUCCCACAAGCAUUCACCUUAACCUCUUCAACCAUCAGAACGUCUUCCGUCUUCUCGAAGAGUCCUUGCAGUCCAACUACACUAGAAGUUUUAGGUAGUCCCACACGCAUUCACCAUAACAUCUUCAAUGCAGGACAUCUCCCACUUCCUUGAAGAUCACCUUGCAUCCAAUCACCCUUGGCCUUCUUUUAGAGUAAUCCCGCAAGUCGUGCUAUACAUUCUUCAACCUCCGGAAUGCCUUCCGUCUUCAUGAAGAAAUCCCUUGCUCAAGUGACCCAUCUUGUGACAGUUAAAGCAUUCAGACUUUGACUUGUUACCACUCUUUCCCCGGUUACCUCUACCUCCACGCAAGGGAUAAUCAGACAACCAAAAUCAAAGUGUAUGGAACAAUUAAAUAGAAGCCAAAAGUAGAAAAACAACGGCGAGAAGAACACAAAAGAAUUUGUUGACCCAGUUCGGUCCAAAUUGACCUAGUCUGGGGGAGAGAGCAGCCCUCCGUUCCACUAUAUCACUAAAUCGUUAAGGACUUUGUUUUUCAUUUGCAUUUGUUUUCAGACUUAGACCAUGAAAGGUUGGAAUGAGAUUUUAGGGUUGAUAUCAAUUAUAAUCUCGUGUUGGAGCGAGAAGUUGUGAAUUAAAGAUCAUUCCUUUAGAUAUUUGAAGUUGAUUAAUAAUCGGGUGUUGGAUAAGAGACAUAAAUAAGUCCUUAUAAUUGAAACUAAGUUGAUAACUUUAUUAUGAGUUUGAGAUUUCUACUUUGAUCAUACAAGCAUAUACAUUAUAAGUUCCUUAUAAUUGAAACUAAGUUGAUAACUUUAUUAUGAGUUUGAGAUUUCUACUUUGAUCAUACAAGCAUAUACAUUAUAAGUUUGUGGUUUGGCCUUGCAAAAUAGAACUAAAGUGAAGUGAAAAAGUUGGAUUUUUCUAGAGAGAUAAUAAAGUUGUAAGUAAAUGGUGGGAGUAGCUUAUGAAAUUACAUUAUUAGAAGUCUAUUUGUCUUUCAAGUUUCCUACCAUAUCAAAUGAUUGAGAUCUCUUAUCAACUAAUUUGAUUUAUCAAAAAGCAAGACAUGAAACACUCUCACAACAAUAGACUAAGGGAGAGCCUGUAGACCAUACACAUAACAAAGUUAUAUGGCCACAUUCUAUUACAAUCUAACUAAUAGAUUACGCACAAAGUGCAUUUCUAGGAAGUAAAUUUGAAACAUGGAUCAUGCUGAAAACCCAUUAAUUCGACGGUGAACCAGAAGGCAGGAUUCCAUAGAGGAAUGAUGAGAUCAAAGUCAAAGCACGUUCAGGUUGCCAGCUUGGAACAAGAUGUCCUGCUCCUCUCACUGUAACAAAUGUCAAUCCUUUGUAUCCCACAACAUACCCUCCAAUCUGUCAUUAUUGUUUCAAAAAUGUUAUUACUUGGUAUAGAAGAAAAGUCAAUAAGUCGACCAUAUCUCAAGUAAAUUAUAAUUUUUUAACUCGACAUCAUAAGUGUUGAGAGUCCCUCAAAUUUACAAAAUAACAAAUUAGCCCUAAAAGUAUAGAAUGCAAAUCAAAUUAGUUUCUCACUCAAAAUAUAAAUCGACUAAUUUCAGUACCUCUUUUCCAGAAUACCACGGACGCCAAGCAGAGUUGAUUGGAAGUUUAAGGGUGUUGAUUAAAUAUCUUGAAGAUGUGGUUGGAACCACUACAUCUGUAUCACCACUGUAAGAAGAAUACACCAUCAAAAUUCAGGAGGGUGAAUUUUUAUAAAACAAAAUUUGCAAUCUCUUAUUAUUCAUAACAAGAGACUUCAUGUUAUAUAUUAUUGUUCAUGUAGAUUCAAAUUGUCAUUAGUUUUAAACAAUUUAUAUUAAAAUGAAAGUGAGCUUACCUGUAUAUCCAUAAUUUAAUGCCGCUAUCAAUGAGAUACUUGACGGUGGGUAGGACGGUAGCUGGACUGUCUUUCCAGGUAGUAAGAAGAUGACUAUGAAUUGUCAUUGAAAACAACACAUUCUUGAUUAGCAUAGAAAAAUACAAGUAUAUAAGUGUCAAAACAAAGAGUACUAUUUUACAAUUUCUUAAAAGUGAUUAUAGAAUAUUACGUGCAAUGGGUCCAAUUUGUAGGUUUUGCAUGAAGAGCCUUUUGAACUUCUGGUCUAUUUAGAUAGGCAGUAACAUAGUAAUCAGAACAAGGGUCAAAAUCAUUGCUUACGUAACCAGUACUAGAACCAUUUUUCAGAGAAGAGUCAUGACACAAUGGCGCAUGGAUGUUAUAGAUGUCUAUCUUUCCUGUCUCAACGAAGGCCUUAUCAGUUGCAUUGUUACAAAUUGCUGAAACAUUUUCUUUAGUGAAGUCACAGUACUUCUCAAUCAACUCAUGAGUUUGAUCUGAGUUUAAAGCAUGAGUCCACAAGUUAUCAUAUAUCCCCUUUAAAUUCGUCGCAUCAUCAAUCCAAGCAUUCCCUAUCUGAAAUUUUUUUAAGUAUAGAUAAUAAUGAGAUUAGAAUUAUGAGAUUGCGAGUUAUAUUUCAUUAUUAGUCAUUCGAAGUUUGAACAACAUACAGAAAUGCCUUUGAGGUUAAUAAUGGUGUUGUUAUAGAGUUUAUUGUUGUAAAGAAUAGUGGAUGCAAGUUGAGGAACAUAAUGACCGGCAUAACUCUCUCCAGUUAUGUAAAAAUCUCUGGUUUUGUACUGUGGAAAUCUCUCCAGCCAGUUGAUUAGGAAGACAUAGGCAUCUUUAGCAGUGGACUUAUCUCCUGAAUUGUCAUAGUCCGAUGAUGUGUUUGAGUAGGAAAAUCCUACCCCUGCUGGAGAUUCCAAGAAGAGUACAUUUGCCACUGCAUAUUUCAUAAGGAGUUAAGUUUCUAAGAUAAUCAUGUCUCAGAAAUGCAUCAUAAAUAACACAUUAGUUAUAUCGAUGAUCAUCUCACCUUCAUUCCAAGCAUAUGGGUUACGGUAUAAUGUUUUGCCAUCAGAGUUGACUCUGAAGGGUCCGAGCUCCUCAAAGGCUCCAUAUCCCAGUGAGGAACAACCAGGUCCUGUGAGUUUCAAACAUUAUGAUGUCAAAAUUGAAGCUGACAAACUUGAGAGUCUAAGUAAACUUGUUGAGCUUCUGUAGACUCGACUAGUAAAAGUCAGAGUUUCCAAUUUUAUUAUUUUACUUAAACUCGUAAAAGUUUACAAAACAGUGAGUGCGUAUGCGAGUUAAUUUUUUUUAUGAAUCAUAAUUGUAAGAAGGUAUGGGUUAGCCCGAAAGUUUAACAACGAUGGUCAUAAUCAUAUUAUCAAGAGUAAAGUUCAAAUGAUGUCAAUGAACAGGUUUUUGCAUGUGAUUUUAUAAAUCAAAAGAAAAAUAAAGUUCAAUAUCAAGUGAUAUUUGUUCUUAGGUAAAACUAUACUAUCAUGUUUCACUACUAUGAAAAUGAACUUAUGUCAUCAAUCAAGUAUAAUUAAUAAUCUAUUUAUAAACAAAUAUUAAAUAGACAAUGACACAUUAAAGAACAUAAAAAAAUAGAAAAUGCAUACAAAAGAACAAAAGUUAACUGUAGAAAACAGUUUCUGAUGCAUUUUUUUUACCUCCAUUAAGCCACAAUAUUAAGGGUUUAGUAUAAGAGUUAUGUGGAGAUUCCACAAAAUAAUAGAAAAGUUCUCUUCCAGCCUCAGGAUCAACUGUGACAUAGCCUGAAUAUUGGUCAAAAUUCACUCCAUAGGGUUGACCAGGCAAUGUGACGAUCUUGUCAGCUAGUCUUAGCUCCUCUUGAGGUGGUGCAACAUAAGCAGCAGAAAAAGAAUGUGUUUUCAAUGCAUCUCCCUCUUCCCAAGAAAGUGUCUUGGGAGGAUUCUGAGAUUUUCUAGACAGAAUAAACUCAUUGAGUUUAUCAGCUUGACUAGCUUUGCUAUAUGGAAAAAUAACCAAAAGGCUCAAGUUGAGUAAUAAACAAGCAUAAAGAGAAACCUUCUUCAUCUUGUUCUCAACUUGGUUUCAACAUAUCAUAAGUUUCUAACAAUUUAUAGAUGAAAAAGUGACAAUUUUGGAGGACUUAUUUGGUUGUGCUUAUUGGAGUCAUGUGAAUGAAACAAGUGUUAACAGUACAAUUGACCAAUGACUAUGCAAUAUUGAUCAGCCGGCUGAAUGUAAGUGAUUUUCCUUGUUUCCCUUUUUCUAGAAUCAUGGUAUCAAGGUAUUUAAUAAUUUAGAACUUUGUGAUUAACUUUGAAAGUUAAUGAUAUAUUUGUUCCUCUAACUUAUUGUUGUGGUUUAUGCAGUGUCUUCAUUCUAGUUUCUAAGAGCAUCUGUAAUUGGGUUACUGGGAAUAUGCUCAUGCUUGCUCGUGCCAGGUUCUAUAUGUUAUAUCUUAAUUAAAUAAGUAAUUUUCUCUAUAUAACAAGCAGGCGGCCACAAUGAGAUUAAACUCUAUCUAGGUUAGUGUAAAUUCAGUUUACUUACCUUCAAUCUAGGUUAAUGUAAAUUAAGUUUACUUAUGUUCAAUCUAGGUUAAUGUAAAUUCAGUUUACUUACGUUCAAUAUAGGUUAAUAUAAAUUAAGUUUGUAAAUUCAGUUUACUUACGUUCAAUCUAGGUUAAUGUAAAUUAAGUUUGUAAAUUCAGUUUACUUACGUUCAAUCUAGAUUAAUGUAAAUUAAGUUUACUUAUGUUCAAUUUAGGUUAAUGUAAAUUAAGUUUACUUAUGUUCAAUUUACAUUAAUGUAAAUUUAGUUGAUUUGAAAUUUUUAUUUUAAUUAAAGGGUAUAUUGAUCAUUCUGGAGUGUAAUUUUUUUUUUUUUUUUGGGUAUAACUAGCACCGGUCAACAAAUAAUAGAGAUUGUUCUCACGAGGAUUGUUUAUGUUUAAUACUCAUGACUCAUAAGUCACUGGAAUAAGAACCAUGCGUUCUGAGGUCACAAACUAUUUUUGUGUUUUUAUGUUGUCACACUUUUAUUUUGGAAAGAUUACAUGGUCAUUUAUAAUUUUUUUUUUUUACAUUUGCACCGGUUUUCGAUCCAUCAAAGAUGGACGACUAAUUCGACUCGUGCUUAGAGGCAUGCGCACUGGCCAAACGUUGUUCCCCCUAUGAAUCGAACCUGGUAUUCUCCAGGUACGUCCUUGGAAUGAGCUCAUUGCCACUAGAGCCCAAACAACUUGGUCAUUUAUAAAAUUUAAAUAAACAGAAUCAUAAACAUUUUGGGUCUUGGUGAUGAUUGUUCGCCGAACAGAUUUCAAAUUAAUAAAUUAUUCUUUAAAAGAGUCAAAUACUUCAAUUUUACAAUAAAUUGAACAUACAAAUUUUUAUAAAAAUUUACCAUCUAAGAUAUUUAAAGAUUACCCUAGGAACACUCAUUAACAUUUUCCAUACAUUUUUUUCUCAUAGAAUUCUUACGGAGUGAAGACCCAUCUAACAAUAUGCGUCAGGGUCAAAUUAGUCCUCCACAAAUUUAAACACUCUAUUUUAUUUUUGGCAGGUAUCGAAGACUGUUUUGGCCGAGAAAGAUGACCCGAAAGAAAAAAAAAGUAUCAAUUUGGUUCCUCAAAAUUUUGUCCCUUGUUUUUGUAAACAAUACACAUGACAGACAGUAAGAUAACUUAAUUGUCACAUAUUCCCAGUCAUAGUUCAAAAAUAAAAAGAAAAAAAAAAAUGAUUGAAGAAAAAUAUUGACGGAAGAACUAAAUUGUCUUGAUUUAGUUUUGUAAAGUGAUAAAUAGGGUCAUUUUUUUUGUACCAAAAAAAAUAAAAUAAAAUUUGACCCGUGUAUAUUUUGUUAGGGAGCAAAAUGGGUCUUCAAUCAAUUCUUACGUGUCUAAGCUAAGAUAAAUUUGUCAAUGACAUAUACUUCUUGUUCAUGUCCAAGAGUAUAUAUAAUGUUCAAGUGUUGAUGAAAUCUUGUCAAAAAAAAAUAAAAAAAUUGUUGGAUGAAAGGAAACUUUUGAAUAUUUAUCUAUUAUUAUAAUGGGCCAGUUUGUUUUAGAUUAUAAAAAAAAAAAAAAAAAAAAAAAAAAAAAAAAAAGAUUUUUCUUUGUAUUUUUAAAAAUAGAUUUUUUUGAAAAUUUAGUCAAAAAUAGUAGAAGUUAUUUUAAACUCAUUUGAUAUAAGUUAAAAAAGAGAUUUUGACAUUCACUAACUUAAAUAUUCAUUGUUCGAGAUUUUACACAGUAAAAAUUACAUAUUUUUUCAAAAUGACAUUUUUCAAAAAUGAUUUUUAUGAAAAGUUAUUUGAAAUAAUUUAUUUUUUUUUAGAGAUUUUUGCAAAAUUUAGUAUAAAAAAAAAAAUUAUAACAAAAAAUGAUGAAAUACUUAGAAUGAUAUUUUAAGAUAAGUUAUUUAAACAGAUUUUUUAUUUGAAGCUUUCCUUAAAAAUUUCUUUAUUAAAAAAAUUAUAACAAAAACAUAUUACACUACAAAAAUCCAUUUUAAGAAAAGCUAUAACAAAGGGCUCAAUAUACUUUAUUAAAUCAUAGCCCCAAAUUCUCUGAUUGACACAUCAUAUAUGUCUAAUGCAAAAAUACAUAGCAUAUCAUAUUUUUACAACAAUAUAGCUGUCUUAAUCUCUUCUGUUGUAAUAGUUGCUCAGGUAUGACCCCGAUGCUCUUGUCAAUUCUGCAAGUGAUCAAAUCCUUUACAUAUUUUGUAAAAAAAAAAAAAAAAAAUCCUUUAUGUUGUGAAUUCCGGUAAAAACCACACCAAUGAAAAACAAAGAUAUGUGGAGCAAAGCAGGUGGUAAUCAAUGUGUAAAAUGUCUCCAAGUAACAACAACAAAAACAGACCUAGAUCUAAGUGUAGAGCAACACCACAAGCAUAAUCAAAACACAAAGAUGAGCAAUGAAAGAAAAGAACAAACACACCAAAAGAUUGUUGACCUAGUUCGGUCCAAUAUGACCUAAUUUGGGAGGGGCAGUUCUCCAAUCCACUAUGAUGAAAGUGUUACAAAGAGUUACAAGAAAUUAGUUUAUAAGCUUACACUAGAACAAAACCUAAUUUCUACCCAUUUGUGUCACCCACUCUCACAAUAUGAAUCCUAAGAGAAAACACAAAAGGAAGCUUUUGAUCCUUCCAAUGGUGAAAUCUCACUACCCAAGGUGUUUACAAUGUUUCCCAACCCAAAAGAUCCUCACUACAAAGACAUUCAACCCUAAAGUUACAUCUCCUUUGUAAUCCAAGUUUCUCUCACUUUAAGCUCACCUUCAAAAACUGCACAAGAACACUUAUAUAGCAGUCUUCAGCUGUCAAAAUCGUGUCACGUUUUCCAAAACGUGGCCAAAACGUGGCACGAUUGGUGCGUACAUCUCAAUGUACGACCAACCUUAUCCUGAAAACGUACCCAACAAGUUUGAAAAUCGUGUCACGUUUUCUCAAACUCGUGACACGAUUGAGCACCCUGCAAACCAUGCUCACUGCCUGGGAAAUCGUGACACGUUGAUGAAAUCGUGUCACGAUUUCUCUGUUCUUCCAAACCCAAAUUUGAAGCCAAUAUACAAUACUUUACAUAUAAGGACGGUUACUAUUGUAUCUGAAUUCUGAAAGAAGUACUUACUCCAGCUUUCUACUUAAAACAAUAUUGAAGUGAUCAAAUCCUUUACAUCUUUAUUUCUUCUGUUACUAGUUGGUGUUCUAGCAAUACACUCUCACAACAAGUGAGGGAGAGCCUAUAAUAUUGCCAUACACAAACCCAAGUAAUAUGGCCAUAGCACAGAGUGCAUUUCAAGAUUUGAUAUGUAACAACAAUCUUUAGUUGAAAGUUCAAACUGAAUUUUGUUUAUUACAAUCUAACUAGUAGAUUUUGCACAAAGUGCAUUUCAAGGAAGUAAAUCUGAAAAGUGAAUCAUGCUUAGAAACAAUUAGUUUGAUGGUGAAACAGAAGCAGGCAGGCUUCCAUAGAGGAAUGAUGAGAUCAAAGUCAAAGCACGUUCGGGUUGCCAGCUUGGAACAAGAUGUCCUGCUCCUCUUACUGUAACAAAUGUUAAUCCUUUGUAUCCCACCACAUACCCUCCAAUCUGUCAUUAUAAUAAUUUGAUUACGUUUCAAAAAUGUUAUUACUUGGUCUACAAGAAAAGUCAAUAACCCAACCAUAUAUCGAGUAUUAGCAUUUUAGAACUCAAAUUUGUAAAAGUCGAACAAUUUAGUUCCUCCAAUUAAUGAAAUAACAAAUUAAUCCCUUAAAAUAAUGAGUGUCAAUCAAUUUAGUUCUGUAGACUCAUUUCAGUACCUCUUUUCCAGAAUACCAUGGAUGCCAAGCAUCGUUGAUUGGGAGCUUUAGGGUGUUGAUUGAAUAUCUUGAAGAUGUAACUGGAACUCUUCCAUCAGUAUCACCACUGUAGGAGACCACAUUAUCAAAUUUAGGAGUUGGAAUUUUAAUUUUGAUAAAAUAAAAUUGUAACCUCUCAUUAUUCACACAAGAGUCUACAUGUUAUAUUAUUGUUCUUGUGCUUUCAAAUUGUCAUAGUAAUGUUAAUUAAGACUUUAAUAUAAUGAAAUUGAGCUUGCCUGUAUAUCCAUAAUUUAAUGCCACUGUCGAUGAGAUACUUGAUGGUAGGUAGGACGGUAAUUGGACUGUCUUUCCAUUUAGAAUUAAUUUCACUAUGAAUUGUCAUAAAAAAAUCACAUUCUUGAUUAGCAUAGAAAAGCACAGUUAUUUAAGUGUGAAAACAAAGAGUUUAUUUUGCAAUUUUUUAAAAGUGAUUAUAGAUUUUUUACCUGCAAUAGCUCCAAUUUGUAGGUUUUGCAUGAAGAGCCUGUUGAACCUCUGGUCUAUUUAAAUAGGCAAUGCCAUAGUAAUCAGAACAAGGGUCAAAAUCAUUACUUACAUAACCAGUUGAACCAUUUUUCAAAGAAGAGUCGUGACACAAUGGAGCGUAGAUGUUAUAGAAAUCUAUCUUUCCUUUCUCAGUGUAAGCCCUAUCUGUUACAUUGUUGCAUAUUGCUGAAGUAUUUCCACUAGUGAAGUCAACAGUGAAGUCACAGUACUUCUCAAUCAACUCAUGAGUUUGAUCUGAAUUCAAAGCAUGAGUCCAAAAGUAAUCAAAUAACCCCUUCAAACUUGUGGCAUCAUCAAUCCAAGCAUUCCCUAUCUGAAAUUUUUUAAAGUAAAGAUAAUAAUAAAGUUAGAUUUAUGAGAUUGUGAGUUACAUUUCAUACUUGGUCUUUUGAAGUUUGAAGAACAUACAGAAAUGCCUUUGAGGUUAAUAACAGUGUUGUUAUAGAGUUUAUUGUUGUGAAGAAUAGUCGAUGCAAGUUGAGGAACAUAAUGACCAGCAUAACUCUCUCCAGCUAUGUAAAAAGCUCUUGUUUUGUACUGUGGAAAUCUCUCCAGCCAGUUGAUUAGGAAGACGUAAGAAUCCUUGGCAGUUGAUUUAUCUCCUGACUUGUCAUAGUCAGAAGUUGUGUUUGAAUAGGAAAAUCCCACUCCUGCUGGAGACUCUAAGAAUAGUACAUUUGCAACUGCAUAUUUCAUAAUGAUAAACUGGUAAGUUAUUCAUGUCUAAGAAUAAAUGCAUCAUAAGAAACAAUUUCAUUCUAUCGAUGAUUGUUUCACCUUCAGUCCAAGCAUAUUGGUUACGGUAUAGUGUUUUGCCAUCAGAGUUGAUUCUGAAGGGUCCUAGCUCCUGAAAGGCUCCAUACCCCAGUGAGGAACAGCCAGGUCCUGUAAGUUUCAAACAUUAUGUUGUCAGAAUCAAAGCUGUCAAACUCGAGAGUUAGGUAAAUUUGUUUAUCUUUGGUCGACUCAACUCUUUAACUUGCUAUAGUAAAAUCAAAUGUUUAUCUAGAUUUAAUUAGAGUUUACCGGAACUCAUAAGAGUUCACUAUAAAAGGAGUAUUCAUGUGAGGUAGUUCGUUUUUAUGACUCAUAAUUGUAAAUUCGUAAAAGAUUUCUCGAGGUUUUUCUAACCAUGAUCAAAAUCAUUUCAUCAAGAGGUAAGUUUAGAUCAUGAUGCUCAAAAUAAAUUAAUAACCAGGUUUCACUAUGUUCUUUCAUUUUCAAUAUAAAAAUAAUAUUUUGUUCUUAUGUAAAAAUGUGCUACCCUACCAUGUUUGACUACUAUGAAAAUCAAGUUAUGUCAUCAAUCAAAAUAUUAACUAAUAAUAUAUCAUUCCUUUCUUUAUUUUGAUAGAAAUAAUAUAUCAUUUCUUCUGAUGUCAUGUUGUGUUUUCAAGGAUAAUAAUGUAAAUAUAAAAAAUAAAUGAAAUCACAUAACAUAAAAGUUAUAAAAUGCAUACAAAAUAACAAAAGUUAUCAGCAUAAAAAAGUUUGAGGCAAUUUAUACCUCCAUUGAGCCACAAAACUAAAGGUUUAGUGGAAGAGUUAUAUGGAGACUCCACAAAAUAAUAGAAAAGCUCUCUUCCAGCCUCAGGAUUAACAGUGACAUAGCCUGAAUAUUGGUCAAAAUUCACUCCAUAUGGUUGACCAGGCAAUGUGUCAAUCUUGUCAGCUUGCCUUAGCCCCUCUUGAGGCGUAACAUAAGGAGCAGAAGAAUCUGUUUUAGAUGCAUCUUCCUCUUCCCAAGAAAGAGUCUUAGGAGGAUUCUGUGAGGUUCUAGAAAGAAUAAACUCAUCAAGUUUAUCAGUUUGACUAGCUUUGCUAUAUGGAAAAAUAACCAAAAAACUCACGCUGAGUAGUAAACAAGCAUAAAGAGAAACCUUCUUCAUCUUAUUCUCAACUUGGUUUCCAUAUAUCUUAGUUUCUAUCUAUUUAUAGAUACAAAACAGUGAAAGUAUUUUAGGGCUUGUUUUGUUGUGGUUGGAGGCAUGUGAAAGAAACAAGAGAACGAUGACAUUAGUAUUGACCAGGCAAUGAUCAGCCGGCUGAUUUAAUAUAGUUUCUCCUUGAAUGUAAUGGAUUGUCCUUGUUUCCCUUUUUCUAGACACAUAUCAAGUUAUUUAACAAUUUAGCACUUUGUGAUUAACUUUUAAACUUAAUGAUAAAUAUAUUUUGUCCUCUAACUUAUUGUUGCCGUUUAUGCACUUGUACUGUAUCUUCAUCACAGUUUAUGAGAGUAUCCUCAUGGCCACAAACCUAGAGCAUAUUCACUAACUUACAAUGAUUUGCAUUUAAAACAAACUUAAGAUUAUGAUAGGUAACCCGGUAUCAUGGGGUCCUAAUGUCACGUCGAGUAUUAUGAGAUAUUCCAUGCAAAACUUUUGAUAGAAAUACUUAGUUGGACACGAAUGAAAAAAUGUCAUGCGAUUCGACCCUAAAUUUAAAAUAUUUAGUCACACACAAAUGUUUUUUUUUAAAAGAAAAGUAAUUUAGUUACAUCACUUAGUAUCUGUUUGGUUGAGCGUUUGUGCUCUCAAAGUGGGUUGGUUUUUUCCAGUGGUGUUUGGAUAAAAUCAAAAGCGAUUGUGAAAAAGCAAUUUCACAUCCAAAAUAUGGGUUAACUGGAAGCCACAAAUUUUAGCUUCUGCGGCAACUAAAAGCAAUUCUGGAGUUUGCUUUUUGUUAAGAAAUAUAUUUUCCAUAAAUACCCAUGAUUCAACACAAUCUCCUUUUUUUUUUUUCUUUUUCUCAAACUCCAAUGUUUAUUCUAUGCAACACUUUCUUAUUUUUUCAGAUCUAGUGAAAAAUCUCCUUAUUUUUCUAGAUUUGGUGAAAAACAAAAGUGGGGAGGAAGAAUGAGGAAAUACCCAAAUCUCUAUUGAAGCUUCAACAGAGAAUAUAAAUGUAAAAAUCAAAAAUUUGGGAAAUUAGAAACAGAAAAAGGGAAGAAAGGAUGAUGCCAUCCAUGAAACUAAACAUCUUCAUAGAGCAACAUGAAAUGCGUAGUAUAUUACACACAGAGAGAGUCUGGAGUCUUCUUCAUAAAUGACUUCAAUUACCCAUCAUUAUAUUUGUUAUUUAUUAAUUAAAGGAGAAGUUCUAGAGAAUUCUUAUUUGUUUUUUGAAGAUGAUUUUUUGAAAAUGGUUUUAAUUAAUUAAUUAAUAAGAAAAUAAUAAUAAGAUGAACCGAGAGAUAAGUACUAUUAAUAAUGAUUAAUGAAGCAAUAAAAAUCUAAAUAUGAUAACUUGAAAUAAUUAUAUAAAAUGAGAUAUUUAAUUUUAAAUACAAUUAAAAUGAUAUUUUGGUCAUUACACAUUCAAAAUCAAUUUUGAUUUAAACCAUCCAAACAUUAUCAACUCAUAAGAAUGACUUAUACAUUAGUGUAUCCAAGCAUAAAUCAAUUCAUAUCAAACUCACUUUUAAUAAAAAUCAAUUCUCUCAAACUCAAUUCUAUCAAAAUCAAUUCUCACCACCGAUAUACCAAACUCUCAAACUCAAUUCUAUCAAAAUCAAUUCUCACCACCAGUAUACCAAACACAGACUUACUUAUUCCAAGAAUGAGUUACUCAACUUUUAAUUAAUAAGUCCAGAGUCUAAAUACUCUUUUCCGAAAUAACCAUUGAUAUAGCAUAUAAAAAUAGAGUAAUGCAGGAUGUUCCCCGAUUAGUUUCGGUAUAGUUUUUCUUUUUUAGACUUAUAGCCCUCUUUAUAAUAAACAAAUAUAGCAAUGUUAUAUCAAUUAAACGAAUUCCUUAGUAUUGAAAUUUCAUGAACCAUGUUUUGUGAUCGUAGUUUGAAUUCUUUAAUCUUGAAAUUUCACGAACCAUGUGGCAAAACUGCUUUGGUAAUUUGAUUCCAAAUUUCACGAAAUAUAGCUUGAUAAGAGUAUUUUUUAUUUUUUUUUGUCAAGAAUAACCAAUAAGAGUUAAUCGUGAUGGAUUCGUGAAAUUAUCUUUCGAUGCAUCUAGCAUUUUCCAUAAAUAUAUUCCAAGAGACAUGUUGGCUAGAUGGCGCAUUUUGUUUUUCAUUUUAAUUGUAAAACACUUGCUUGUAUUCAAUUAGAUAAGAUAUAAGUUCACCACCAACGAAGAUAAAGUACAAGUAGUACUCAAGAAACCAAAACAAACUCAUCUACCUCUACAUUCUAAAAGAUUAGAAAACCAUUCAUAAAACAAAACAUAAGUAACCCAAUUUUCUCUCCAAAAAUAUUCUCUCUCAUUCCUGCCCAUCCAAAGUCAUAUGCCAAAUUAGCAAUAAUCGUUUUGGCAACUUUUCUUUCUUGGAAUAGAAGCAAAAGCUUUCUAAUAAGACAAAGAGGUUUUCCGUAGCGAAGGUUGAAAAGCUCUCUCCGACAUCCCCAUGUGUUUGGCCCAAUUGUUGUUGUUGGGCGCAACUUGGGGGUGCCGGGGGCAAUAACCUCAUGGUACGAUUCACAGGUAUCAUUGUAAACUGAACCGUAGUAUUAUAUAUAUUGGUUGUAACAUAAAACCCAAAUUCAUACAGAAAUUAACUGUCUUUAUAGUCGAAGAGGUAGACAUCAUUGAUUGCAUGAACAAAGAUCUUGUCUCAUUUUUUAAAAGAAUUUAUUUGAAUUAUUCCAGAUUACUAGAGCACUUCCCCCAAAACCGGAGUAUGGCAUCUAAAAACACACAUCCCCAAGAGUAAUUGAUAAAAAAGACGGAGUAUGGUCCGCAACUGAACUCCUUCAACCAAACUUGCAUCUUUCAUUCAUCAAGAAACCAACCUUACAUCCCUCACGCUUCAUUCUUCAGAAGUUUGUGCAGAAUAGUUUUAGUCAAUAUAUAUUCUAAAUUAGGUGACAUGGUUUUGGCUAGAAAUGUGUUUGAUUCCAUGGUUGAUAAAGAUUUAGUGUGUUGGAACUCUUUUGAUUGAUGGGUAUGCUUGAAUUAGCGUUGAAGAUGUUUGAUGAAAUGCCUAGUAGGGAUGACUGGAAAUUGGCUAAUAGUGUCGAUCCGAGGCAUACUGUACACGUAUUGGGCAGGAGUGGCAGCUUAUCAGGACAAGAGCUAUAGGGAAGUGAGAAUGCACAAGAUGCAUCUAGAGAGGGAAGAUAUAAAUGCAAUCUUGAUGCUUUGUUUUCACAACAACGAAACCGUGUUUAUUUUGGUUUGUACCAGAGAUAACGAGGGUCGUUUUGUGCUUGCCAAAAUAUCGUGGUCCUCACCUAUAUGUAAUGUGGAUGUAGUAGAAAGCAUUGAUUUGAGAUUUUUAUAUGCUAUUACAUGGGGUUCACCAGCUGCAGUUAGGAAUUGAUUUUGCUGUAUUCGAAAAAAGGUAGUAAAUUAUUUUAUAAGGUAGAAAUGAUGUUAUAGAGUUUGUUGAUGUGUUGAAUGAAUGUUAGCAUGUGUUUAGUUUGUAUUUUAAAAACUCUUGUUGAACUUAGUAGGAAAACAGUGGUAGUUAUAAUCUAGUUAUAAAUAAACUCAAAUGCACAUAUGAAAAAACGAUAUAAACUACUGAAGAAACGAUGUAAACGCAGAUAGAUUGGUGGUUACAAAACAAUUUUACUUUGAUAAUACUAGCUUAUAUGCUAUAAGUUAUCGGUUGGCCUUGCCAAACAGAAUAUAAGAGAAGUGGAAAAACUAAAUUUCUUACAAAUUUCCCUUGAGAAAUAUAAAGAUGUAAUAAGUAUAUGGUGGCAGUAACUUAUGGGAACCAUAGCAAACAAUUGAGCUUUCUUAUCAGCCAAUUUGGUUCAUCAUAAGUGUGACAUCACAAAUCAAGACACGAAACACUAGUAGAUUUUAAUCAGUUGAUAUGUAACAAAAAUUGUAGUUGAAAGUUCAAACUAAAUUUUGUUAUUACAAUCUAACUUGUCGAUUUUGCAUAGUGCAUUUCAAGGAAGUAAAAUUGAAACAUGGAGCAUGCUUAGAAGUUAGAACCCAUUAUUUUGAUGGUGAAGUAGGAAGCAGACUUCCAUAGAGGAAUGAUGAUAUCAUUGUCAAUGCCCUUUCUGGCUGCCAGCUUGGAACAAGAUGUCCUGCUCCUCUUACUGUCACAAAUGUCAAUCCUUUGUAUCCCACCACAUAUCCUCCAAUCUGUCAUUAUUAAAAUUUGGGCACGUUUGAAAAAUCUUAUUACUUGCUCAAGAAGAAAGUCAGUAACUCAGCCAUAUAUUGAAUAAAUUAGCAUUUCUGUACUCUAGGUUGUAAGUAACGAACAGUUUAGUCCUUCAAAUUUAUGGAAUAACAAACUAAUCCCUUUAAUUAAAGAAUAUCAAUUAAUUUAGUCUCUUCCUCAAAAUCUAAAUAGACAGAUUUCAGUACCUCUUUUCCAGAAUACCAUGGACGCCAGGAAGCGUUGAUAGGAAGCUUAAGGGUGUUGAUUGCAUAUCUUGAAGUUGUGACUGGAACCCUUGCAUCUGUAUCACCACUGUAGGAAAACACAUCAUCUAAAUUUAGCAAUUAGAAUUUUAAUAAAACAAAUUUGCAACCUCUCAUUGUUCAAAAGAGUCUACAUGUUAUAUUAUUGUUCUUGUGAAUUCAAAUUGUCAUAACACUGUUAACACUUUAUACAAUAAUGAAAUUGAACUUGCCUGUAUAUCCAUAAUUUAAUGUUGCUUUCAAUGAGAUACUUGAUGGUGGGUAGGAUGGUAAUUGGACUGUCAUUCCAGUGAGUAAUAAGAUCACUACAAUUGUCAUAAAAAAUAACACAUUAAUGAUUAGAAUAGAAAAUACAAUUAUAGAGAUGUCAAAGAAAUAGUACUAUUUGGCAAUUUCUUAAAAAUGAUUAUAGAAUAUUACCCGCAAUGGCUCCAAUUUGUAGGUUUUGCAUGAAGAGCCUUUUGAACCUCUGGUCUAUUUAGAUAGGCAAUACCAUAGUUAUCAGAACAAGGGUCAAAAUCAUUAGUUACAUAACCAGUUGAACCAUUUUUCAGAGAAGAGUCAUGACACAAUGGCGCAUAGAUGUUAUAGAAGUCUAUCUUUCCUUUCUCAAUGAAGGCCCAAUCUGUUACAUUGAUACAAAUUGUUGAAUAAUUUUGUUUAGUGAAGUCACAGUACUUCUCAAUCAACUCAUGAGUUUGAUCUGAGUUCAAAGCAUGAGUCCAGAAGUAAUCAAAUAACCCCUUGUCACCUGUAGCAUCAUCAAUCCAAGCAUUCCCUAUCUGAAAAAUUUGAAGUACAAAUAAUCAUGAAGUUAGUUAUAUGUGAUAGUGAGUUAUAUUGCAUUAUUAGUCUUUUGAAGAUUGAUCAACAUACAGAUAUGCCUUUGAGGUUAAUGAUGGUUUUGUUAUAGAGUUUAUGGUGGUGAAGAAUAGUGGAUGCAAGUUGAGGAACAUAAUGACCAGCAUAACUCUCUCCAGUUAUGUAAAAAUCUCUGGUUUUGUACUGUGGAAAUCUCUCCAGCCAGUUGAUUAGGAAAACAUAGGCAUCUUUAGCAGUGGACUUAUCUCCUGCUUUUUUAUAGUCAGAAGUUGUGUUUGAGUAGGAAAAUCCCACUCCUGCUGGAGACUCUAAGAAGAGUAUAUUUGCAACUGCAUAUAUUUUAUAAUGAUAAAUUGGUUAGAUGUUCAUGUCUCUUAAAUGCAUAAUGGAGAAAACAUUUAAUCAUAUCGAUUAUGAUUGUCAUACCUUCACUCCAAGCAUAUUGGUUACGGUAUAAUGUUUUUCCAUCAGAGUUGACUCUGAAGGGUCCUAGCUCCUCAAAGGCUCCAUACCCAAGUGAAGAACAGCCAGGUCCUGUGUGUUUCAAAUAUUAUGUUAUCAGCAUCAAAUUUUUCAAACUCUAGAGUCUAGGUAAACAUGUGUAGCUUCUGUAGACUCGACUCAUAUACUUGUUAGUAAAAUCAAAUGUGUUUUACUACUAUGUUUCACUACUAUGAAAAUGAAGUUAUGUUAUCGAUCAAACAUUAAGUAGUAAUCGAUCAAUACUUCUUAUCAUGUCUGGUGUUGUAUAUUGGCUUACUACAGUUUUAGUCGAACUAUUAUGGUUUUAGACAUUUAUGCAACUUCAUGGUAACUGUAUUCAUCGGUAAUUUUCACAAUUUCAAGGAACAUAAUGUAAAUUGACAAAGAUACAGUAGAAAACAUAAAAAGUUGAAGAAACACACAGAAUGACAAAACCCCUAAAAAAAGGACAAAAGUUAUUAUCAGCAUAAAACAGUUUGUGAGGCUAUUUUUACCUCCAUUGAGCCACAAUACUAAUGGUUUAGUUGAAGAGUUAUAUGGAGACUCCACAAAAUAAUAAAAAAGUGCUCUUCCGGCCUCAGGUUCAACAGUCACAUAACCAGAGUAUUGGUCAAAAUCUACACCAUCGGGUUGACCAGGCAAUGUGACGAUCUUGUCAGCUAGUCUUAGCUCCUCUUGAGGUGCUGCAACAUAAGCAGCAGAAGAAGAAAGUGUUUUCAAUGCUUCUCCCUCUUCCCAAGAAAGAGUCUUGGGAGGAUUCUGUGAUUUUCUAGACAGAAAAAGCUCAUCAAGUUUAUCAGCUUGACUAGCUUUGCUAUAAGGAAAAAUAACCAAGAGACUCAAGUUGAGUAAUAAACAAGCAUAAAGAGAAAU
rnacentral:lncRNA from 1 species